rnacentral:lncRNA from 1 species
UGUGAGAAACUGUCAGUGUCAACUGUCUUAAAAAGGGGAGUGCAGUCAAGUAAAAGCCUAUACUCAUAUUGUUACCUUAUCAUUCUAUGAGUGUAAAAGAUACUUAAAAGUCAGUUUUACUUUAACAUAAGAUGAUUAUGACUUGCUAUUCAAAUGCCAUGCUUAGAAGGCCUAAGUGAGAUUACUGUGUGUUAAUGUUCUGGCCAUUGGA